rnacentral:lncRNA from 1 species
AACACUCUGAGGUUUCCUUGGAACAAUACCUUGAGGAAAAGAAAGAGAGAGAACAGAGAAGGACGGAUAGAAACUUUGGCAUAGGAACCCUGCCUACCCGGAGAAUUCAGAGUAAAGAAACCCUGAAGGCAGCCCAUCUGCACCGAAGCCAUCGCCGUCCAAUUCCCGCUGCCUAACUUAUUCCGAUACUACAAGUGGUCAAUCCCUUCAACCUUGAAUUGGCAAACAGGUUUGCGUAUCUCUAUUGUUUAUACUUUCAAUUGGCCAUAUCUACAUAUAUAAUGUAUCAUGAUUAAAUGUUGAUAUAUAAUUUGCUUUCGUAUGGGAAUCUAAAUACGCCUGAAUACCCU